GGAAACGGGGAUGGCAGAGGGGGAAGCCCAUCCUCAGUGCUGCACGGAGGUGGCUUAAUGCAAAUCCCUCACUUGCCUCUCCCCAUGGCCACCCUGGCAGCAUCCUCCUACAAAUGCCUCCGAGCUGCAGCUGGGUGAGAAACGAUUUUAAAACUACAGUGUUUAGAGGUGUUCUCCCAGCUGCGCACGGCCAAUACGCGUCUCUCAUGAUAGGUGUAUGAGUCCUGGAGCCUCUGUGCUGUGCGGAUGAAGCCAAGGGUGGACACUGUGCUGGGAGUGGGGAAGGAGGUGCAUGGAAGAGCCCAGGGGCGUGCAGCACGGCGACAGCGCAGGGGCUGCCGGAAGACCCCCCCACAGAGCAGGGAGCAGCAGGCAGAGCCAGACAGGCUCCUCACAGCUCCGGAUGAAGGAAGGAUGAGCAGUCCCCAGGAGCACCUGGAUAGAGUUUUGGCUGGGAGCAAGGAGAGCAUGGAGAGUGUCAGUGAGGUGAGGAGGACAGGAGGGCAACACGUCUGGGACUGCAGAGCCACUCAGUGAUGCUUUUUUUUUUAUGGGGGGGGGGGGGGGGAUGCCUUUCAGCACCAGGAAGGGGUUUGGCCUGAAAGUGCCCCUUCGCAGGAGCCGGACACAGAGGAGAUGGCUUUUUGCACUGGAGAUGGCGAUGGGAUUGAGGAAGGUGGGUGAAUCACCAUGCCAGGUCCCAGGCUGAGUGCCCUUAUGGUGGAGUGUGAAGUGACUGGGGACAAGCAUGGGAGCCAUGUGGCCUGACAGGGUUCAGCUCCCUUGAUGGGAACAUGGGAACCUUCCCUGCUGGCAGAAGCUCUGGGGUGUUCCCACCCUACUGGCACCUGUAUGGGAUGAUGAGAUGGGGGAGGGAGGAUCAAGCAAAAUACCUCACAUAUGGUCCUCCCCAAAGGUGAAGAAACCACAGAGGAGCUGCUGCUCAGUUUCCCCAGUGAGGUCUCAGUGCUGGAGAGAUUGGGACUGCACAGGUAAUGGGGCGAGUGGCUGCAUCGCUGCUGGGGGCUGCAGAACAGAGGUCCUGAGGCACCCCAGGAGCAGACCAAGGGCAUUUUGGCAUGCAUUUCACACUGUGCCUCUGGCUCUGACAGCUGUUCUCUUUCUGCAGCACUAAUUUGACGGAGCAGGACGUGGAGGUGAGGGCUUUUGGGCAGGCUGGGGAAGGUGAAAGGGUAUCAGUGUUCUACUGAAUCCCAGCCAGGGGACUGUGCCCUGCUCCCAGGCUCUGCAGUCCAUUGGCAGUGGUGCAGUUGGCACGAUGAACACCCAGCAAAUUGCUCCUCGAGCUACCCUGAGGUAGCGGAAGCCUCCCUCAUAAAAUUAACUGUCCUGUGAGUGCCAGGGCUUAGACAGGCUCUGCUGCCCUGUGUGCCAACCACAACCUACAACAAGAGCUGGUGUCUGCCAUCCGCAUCCUAGCACCAGUGGGCCUUGGGAUUCCAGUGCAUUAUUAGCUGCCAGGGGGUGUCCCUGCCUUGUUGCAUUUC
rnacentral:lncRNA from 1 species